rnacentral:rRNA from 1 species
UGGGGAAUUUUGGACAAUGGGCGAAAGCCUGAUCCAGCAAUGCCGCGUGUGUGAAGAAGGCCUUCGGGUUGUAAAGCACUUUUGUCCGGAAAGAAAUCCUUGGCUCUAAUACAGUCGGGGGAUGACGGUACCGGAAGAAUAAGCACCGGCUAACUACGUGCCAGCAGCCGCGGUAAUACGUAGGGUGCAAGCGUUAAUCGGAAUUACUGGGCGUAAAGCGUGCGCAGGCGGUUUGCUAAGACCGAUGUGAAAUCCCCGGGCUCAACCUGGGAACUGCAUUGGUGACUGGCAGGCUAGAGUAUGGCAGGAGGGGGGUAGAAUUCCACGUGUAGCAGUGAAAUGCGUAGAGAUGUGGAGGAAUACCGAUGGCGAAGGCAGCCCCCUGGGCCAAUACUGACGCUCAUGCACGAAAGCGUGGGGAGCAAACAGGAUUAGAUACCCUGGUAGUCCACGCCCUAAACGAUGUCAACUAGUUGUUGGGGAUUCAUUUCCUUAGUAACGUAGCUAACGCGUGAAGUUGACCGCCUGGGGAGUAC